GACGAACGCUGGCGGCGUGCUUAACACAUGCAAGUCGAACGGAAAGGCCCUGCUUUUGUGGGGCGCUCGAGUGGCGAACGGGUGAGUAACACGUGAGUAACCUGCCCUUGACUUUGGGAUAACUUCAGGAAACUGGGGCUCAUACCGGAUAGGAGCUCUUGCUGCAUGGUGGGGGUUGGAAAGUUUCGGCGGUUGGGGAUGGACUCGAGGCUUAUCAGCUUGUUGGUGGGGUAGUGGAUUACCAAGGCUUUGACGGGUAGCCGGCCUGAGAGGGUGACCGGCGACAUUGGGACUGAGAUACGGCCCAGACGGCUACGUGAGGCAGCGGUGGGGAGUAUUACACAAUAGGCGGAAGCGUGAUGCAACAACGCCGCGUGCGUGAUGACGGCCUUCGGGUUGUAAACCGCUUUCGCCUGUGACGAGGCGUGAGUGACGGUAAUGGGUAAGAAAGCACCGGCUAACUACGUG
rnacentral:rRNA from 1 species